GAUGAAAGAACGUAGCGAAAUGCGAUAAGUAAUGUGAAUUGCAGAAUUCAGUGAAUCAUCGAGUCUUUGAACGCACAUUGCGCCCCCUGGUAUUCCGGGGGGCAUGCCUGUCCGAGCGUCAUUGCUGCCCUCAAGCACGGCUUGUGUGUUGGGCCGUCGUCCCCCUCCUAGGGGACGGGCCCGAAAGGCAGCGGCGGCACCGCGUCCGGUCCUCGAGCGUAUGGGGCUUCGUCACCCGCUCCGUAGGCCCGGCCGGCGCUUGCCGACGACCAUCAAUCUCUUUCUCCAGGUUGACCUCGGAUCAGGUAGGGAUACCCGCUGAACUUAAGCAUAUCAAUAAGCGGAGGA
rnacentral:misc_RNA from 1 species